CUCAUUUUAACUCGGCCAAAUACAUAGUAACAUACAUAAGAAGAUUUUACUUAUAUUUACCGAACUAUUUGACACGGUCGCGUCAACUGUGUUUACGAGUGUCUUGUGUUCAGAUUGUUUUAAGUGAUAAUUUAACAAUAUUUUUCCAAAUAAAUGGAAAGAAACUUUUAUUUAUAUCAAAUAAUUGAGUGUCUCGACUGUGUGACAUUAUGUCUUGUGUGGUAUGGGGCUGCAGCUCACAUUCAGGAAGAAAAGAAAAUAGCCAACAACUUCUGUCGUUUCAUCGAUAUUAAAUCCAAAAGUGUCGACUGGAUUUACAUGAAAAGUCAGUUCAAGAAGACGAGAUGAAAAAUUUAAAAGAAAAGCUGAACAAGUCCCGCCUCAAGAUCAAACGACUUAAUGAAAAAAAAAAAAAACAAUGUGACAGGGUGUCACAAAGACAGUUUCUAAGCAAAUUGACACUGUUUAGAAAUUAAUAAAUUUGUAUUUAUUGUAAAUAUAAUGUACAUAAUUAAUAACGUGUGAAAUAAA